GUGGAUUAGAUACCCUGGUAGUCCACGCCGUAAACGAUGAUAACUAGCUGUCCGGGCACAUGGUGCUUGGGUGGCGCAGCUAACGCAUUAAGUUAUCCGCCUGGGGAGUACGGUCGCAAGAUUAAAACUCAAAGGAAUUGACGGGGGCCUGCACAAGCGGUGGAGCAUGUGGUUUAAUUCGAAGCAACGCGCAGAACCUUACCAGCCUUUGACAUCCUGGUCGCGGAUUAGAGAGAUCUUUUCCUUCAGUUCGGCUGGACCAGUGACAGGUGCUGCACGGCCGUCGUCAGCU
rnacentral:rRNA from 1 species